rnacentral:rRNA from 1 species
GAGUUUGAUCCUGGCUCAGAACGAACGCUGGCGGCGUGGAUAAGACAUGCAAGUCGAACGAGAGAAUUGCUAGCUUGCUAAUAAUUCUCUAGUGGCGCACGGGUGAGUAACACGUGAGUAACCUGCCCCCGAGAGCGGGAUAGCCCUGGGAAACUGGGAUUAAUACCGCAUAGUAUCGAAAGAUUAAAGCAGCAAUGCGCUUGGGGAUGGGCUCGCGGCCUAUUAGUUAGUUGGUGAGGUAACGGCUCACCAAGGCGAUGACGGGUAGCCGGUCUGAGAGGAUGUCCGGCCACACUGGAACUGAGACACGGUCCAGACACCUACGGGUGGCAGCAGUCGAGAAUCAUUCACAAUGGGGGAAACCCUGAUGGUGCGACGCCGCGUGGGGGAAUGAAGGUCUUCGGAUUGUAAACCCCUGUCAUGUGGGAGCAAAUUAAAAAGAUAGUACCACAAGAGGAAGAGACGGCUAACUCUGUGCCAGCAGCCGCGGUAAUACAGAGGUCUCAAGCGUUGUUCGG